UUGGAAAUAGACUAAAAUGGGCCAAAUGAGAAAGGAAGUGAUGAAACGGUGGCGCAUGGGCUAAUUCAUUUCAGCCGAUUGAGGGGAACAGCCUAUGAGUUUAUAUCGUUGUCAUUACUCAUUUGUGAAAGAGCCCGUCUUAUGACCUCUUUGCCCGAAAUCUCUAAGCGUAGUGAACCCUAACGAGCCGGAACAAACUGCUCAAACCCAAGGGAGCGCAACUUCCAGGUGCUUGAAACCCAAUGCCACCAUCAUCCUCCACAGCCGCGCGCACCGCCGAAUACAAUGAUGACCACUCGCCUCCCUCAUCCGAUUCGCCGGCGGAGAUCUCCGAUUCAGACCUUGAUAACCGCGAACAAGAGGAGCCUGAAAUAGAAGUGGAGGAACAAGAAGAAGUCCAUAACGGUAAUGUUGAUGAAGAAGACAUGGAAGAGGAAGAAGAAUACGAAGAGAUUGAAGUAGAAGAGGAAGAAGAGAUAGAAGAAGAAAUUGAAGUGGAAGAAGAAGAAGAAGAAGAAGAAGAAGAAGAAGAAGAAGAAGAAGAAGAAGAAGAAGAAGAAGAAGAAGUAGUAGAAGUAGAAGAAGAAGAAGAAGAAGAAGAAGAAGAUGAUGAUGAUGAUGAUGAUGAUAAGUUAGAUUCAUCAAAGGAAUCUAAUGUCGAACUCAACGAUGUUGGUCAACAUAAGGAGGUUGAGGGGCAGUUGGUAUUAUCUUCCACGUUGGGAAGGUCUGAGUUGGGACUGCAAUCUAAUUCCCACAUACAAGACAGCAUCAGUAAUCCCAAACUUUCUGGUCCUUUGGAUGAAUCAUUGACAUUUCAGGAAAAAGUGCAUGUGAACUAUGAGGAUUCUGAGUGUUGUAAAUCAGGAGACUGUUUGUUAACCACUGGGGGGAAUGAAAGUCAACAGUUUGCAGUUGAGAAAGAUGUUGAGGCCUUUGUGAAGAAAAACUCACAAGAACUCAGCAAACACAAUGGUGACUGCAAGGUUCAUUUAUGCAAUGAUAAAUCUAUAUCUGAUGAGACCACCAGUCCUAGUAUUGCAAGAAAUGAGGUGUCCAAUGCCUUAGCUAUAAAAGACUGCUUAAGUAUGGAUACUAAUGGUAUUCUGGAUUCUGAGGUAGAAGUUAAGCCAAUGGAAAUGCAGCCGGAGGAUAAAGAGCAAACAGCAUCAAGGUUUUCCAGAGUGGUCACUUCAGAGAUAAGGGCUCAAAGUCCAUCCCCUUCUGCUGAAUUUAAGGAUUGGAACAAACGCCCAGCAGUUAUCUGCAACUUUUUUGCUAAAGGAUGGUGCAUUAGAGGUAGUUCCUGUAGGUUCCUUCAUAUUAAUAAUAAAGCAGAUAAUGCUAAAGAACAGCUGGAGGGAGAUGCAGCUGUUUCGCAUUUAUCAAAAGGAGACCAGUUUGAUGAAGGUUUGAAAAACAUAAUGGAAAAACCAAAGUUGUCUGGUUUUCCUGACUUAGUAGCUUCAUCAAUAGGAAAUGGUUCUGCCUUUCCUAGUCGUUUCUCUUCAGAAAAAAUCUUGCCAUUUGAAAAUGGAGAAAGCCAAUUAUUUCAUCAGUUGGAUGAACAACAAAAAUCUUCAUCACUUCCAAGAGAGGACUUGUCCCGAGGAGUCCACCUCCACCCUGACACCCAGCAAUUUCCUUCAUCAAAAGGUGAUCUUGGGGUUUCUUCCUCCUUAAAGGAUUUAGGAAAGGAGAAUCUUAGACAAAGUUGGCCUGCUUCUGAUUAUGGACGCUAUGCCUCUGCAAUUAAUAGAGGCAGCUCUCCUUCAUUCCAGAGCAGAUUGCUUCCUGAACAUCAAUGUUCUUCAAGUGGAGUGGCUGUAACGUCAAGCAAUCACCGCGGAUGGAAUUCCUCUUCUUAUUUGAGUAGUCUGGACAAUCAAGCAUGUAUUAGAGGUCAAUAUGUGCAUGGUUCAUAUCUGGACAGUUCUUUUUCAGGUAGUAGUAUGUUGCCAUCUCACCAGAUCUCAGCUUGGAAAGGACCAUCAUUUUCUUUGACUUCCUCCAUGAAUAUAAGUCCUCUUGGUUCUCAAAAGCUGCUGGGGAAUGAUAGAGACUUUUGUGCUUCUAGAUCAUCUCCAAUACUGCAAACUGCUUCCCCUCGCUCUGGUUCAGAGCUAGAGAAUGUGCCCCUAACCAGUGUAUCUAAGGAUCCCUUGUGCUAUACAGAACAUAAAGCAAAAAUUUUCUCAAAUGACUGGGAACCAUCUAUACCUUUUCGGCCAUCCUUUUUUAUCACUCACACAAUGACAUCAUCUCCAGGAAGCCAGUAUGAUCCUCUUCGUGAUAGCAUUGACUUGCCCACUGCAGGAUACAAACUUCCCUUUAAGUUUUCUUUUGUUAGUCAAGUAACAUCCAACCUUAAUUCAUCACAUCUACCAACAUAUGGCAACUCAGUGAGUCAGAUCCUUGGACCAGAAUGUGAUAAUGACAAAAGUACUGUAUCUUCUCAUAGUAGAUUCCAUGAAAAUGUGUUGGGCCAGAAUUGCUUUACACCUGGAAAAGUGGUAGGGGGAACUUCUGCAGUCAAUGUGCAAAAAGAGACCAAGCCCAAGGAGGAAAAUACUUCAAGCAGUAGCCAUCUCAAUAAUGUACCAAAUAAACGCAAAAUUGAUAUUGACUGUGAUUCUAGGCAAACAAAUGACGGGCCAAGACGCAAAAAAGACUUAAAGGUAGAUAGGGUUAGGCAAAAGAAUGAAAUGGAUGUUGAGCAAAAGACAGAUGGAGAAUCCAGAACUUUGAGGCAUUUUCGUGCUGCUCUUGUUGAUUUUGUUAAAGAAUUGUUGAGACCGACUUGGCGUGAGGGUCAUCUCAGCAAGGAUGCACAUAACAAAAUAGUUAAGAAGACAGUUGAGAAGGUUCUUUGCACCUUGCAGCCUCAUCAAAUUCCAACUACAAUCGAAUCAAUUAAGCAAUAUCUUUCUUCUUGCCAACCUAAAAUUGCAAAGCUUAUUGAGGGAUAUUGUACAAAGUAUGGGAAAUCUUGACAUGCCAAGCCAAGUCCUUUCUGUUGCUUUUGUACAGUUUCUUAUACAUUCUAGUAAUUAAGAAAAUCAACAUUCAUAAUUUAAUCCUAGUAGAAUACCAGAAUCUCAACCAUGAAGUAUUGGACCGGGCUCUAUGGUGAAGCAGGAAGUGACUGUUUCAGUGGAGAAAUCGUAAUUCUUAUGGAUGGAGCAAGGCAGAGAAUAUACUCCAUGUUCAUUUGGUGGGAAGCUGUUUGGAAGAAACUCACUGCCUAGUGCCUAGAGAAGAAACAUAAGUUGCAGCUGUUCACUGGAGAUUGAAAUAUCAGCUGGGCACAGAUCUUGAUAGAUAAGCCUGUAAAGAAGGGUGAUUCGCAUGAAUAGCUAUCUGCAGCAACAUCCAUGGAAUUCUUGUUUUGCAAUUGGAGGUGGGUUGCCAUUUAGUUGAGAACUUGAUUUCUAGAACCUGCAGCUUUAUACAAAGGUAUAGCUGGAUGUGGAGUAGCGACUGUCCCCUAACGUUUGUUUUUCCAUGAUGUUCAUAUCGCUUCCGUGCUUUUCUAUUUAAUGUUCGAUUAAAGGGAAAGCGUGAAAAACUUCUGGUUCUGGAUUUAUUUUCUUGUUCUUUUUUGGCAGGAUCCUUGGUUUCCUAGAGUCGGACAAAAUCAAAGCUUCUUGAAAGGAGAAAAAGCUUCCAUCUCCUAAUAAAGUCGAAUCCUGAUCGAUUGAAGGAGAUAAAGCUUCCAUUCUUACUAAUUGGAUUGGUUCUAUUGGAUAGUAAUUAAGCGAACUGUUCAGCCCGAUACCAAAGUUGGAAAAAAGUUGACCAUUUUUGUUAGUAAGAAAGAUGAAUGAAAAUUGUUGACGGUGCUUCCGAGUAGCUAGAGCCUCUUCUUCUUCUUCUUCUCCUUCUUCUUUUUUUUUUUUUUUUAAUUAACUUAAAUAGCUAAUUAAUGUUAAUGGCCGAAAGAUACUCGCCAGGAGACAACUUAGUACGAAGAGAAUCUGUAGUUCAAAUAAAAAUAAAAGGACUUGAGUCACAAUUAUGUCUGUUAAUGGCGCCCAACCGUUUCUCAUGGGCCAAGAGCAAGAUCGCUAAGCUGGGCCUGAUUAGGCUUAUCUUUACUAGUUGAAAUCUGCCCAUGACAAUUUAGGUUAGUUUUCAUAUGUAAAUACAUAUCAUUUAUCAAAUCACGGACGAUUUUUCCUUCUCUGCUUGUAAUUUGUGGAGAAAAGAAAGAACAUGCUCAAAAUGUGAUCCCCAUUCAAAGAUUAUCACAUUACAUUUUAUUCUAGGAGCGAUCGACUUGCUGGAACAUACAUUCCUUGGAAACCAAUAAAAGAUAUCAGCCCAAGAAAAAGAAAUUUUGUUAAAAUUGGGACCCAUGUCUGUUGAAGUGCUGAUAAUCUCACCGUCCGCCAUU